GAUGAACGCUGGCGGCGUGCCUAAUACAUGCAAGUCGAGCGAACAGAUAAGGAUCUUGCCCCUUUUACGUUAGCGGCGGACGGGUGAGUAACACGUGGGUAACCUACCUAUAAGACUGGGAUAACUUCGGGAGACCGGAUCUAAUACCGGAUAACAUGUGGAACCGCAGGGUUCUAAAGAGAAAGAGGGUUUUGCUAUCACUUAUAGAUGGACCCGCGCCGUAUUAGCUAGUUGGUAAGGUAACGGCUUACCAAGGCGACGAUGCGUAGCCGACCUGAGAGGGUGAUCGGCCACACUGGAACUGAGACACGGUCCAGACUCCUACGGGAGGCAGCAGUGGGGAAUAUUGCGCAAUGGGCGAAAGCCUGACGCAGCAAUGCCGCGUGUGUGAUGAAGGUCUUCGGAUUGUAAAGCUCUUUUAGUAGGGAGGAACGAAAGUGAGAGUAUCUGUGGAUGUCUUGACGGUACCUAAAGAGAAAGCACCGGCUAACUUCGUG
rnacentral:rRNA from 1 species